CGGGGGAGACCCACAAGGGGCCUGCUCUGCUGCUCCCUCCUGAGCGGUGCCUUCCGGGUACCCUGACUCAUCCACCAGGCGCUCUCAUGCAGCCUCCAGGAGAUCUGCAGGGGGCCAGGGGGUGGUGCUGCUGAGUCAAAACAGCCCCCAGGGAAUAUUCUGCAGGGGAGGGAGGCCCUUCCUGUGCCAGGCAGCCAGAGACCUGCUCCGAGUGCCCUGCGCUGCUCUCAUCCCAGCAGAAGGACGACUCUGAGGGUGGCAGGCGGGACAGGCAGUCACUUUGCAGUGGCAGACACAGGCUCAGAGAGGCUCCAGGCCUGCCUGAGGCCACCUGGAUGACUCUGAAUGCUGCUUCUCCCUCCAGGGCACCAGGGUAACCGGAGGCUUCUAGUUUCUUCAGGGGCCGUCCCUCAGCCUUCACUGUCUGCCCGACUGCCCGCCGGGAGCCCCUGCGUGUGUGGAGAUGGCAAUGUGCUUUCCCGGGGGCUCAGAGCUGCUCCUGCUCCCCGGCGACGGGCUUUUCCAGGCUGCGGCAUAGGGAGCCCCGGUACCAAGGACAUGGGUGGCACUGCGGAGUCGGUGCCAUCCUCUCUACGCCAGACGCCAUGUGAACGUUUUUACGAUGAUUUUUAAAAGAGAGGCUGAGAAGGACCAGGACCAGAAAGACACGGCUGUCCUGUCUCCCACAGGCUGCAGCCUCGAACUGGCACCAUCUCUUCUGCCCCCUGGAAGACGGAGCAGCAGCCCCGGGCGUACAGCAGGCACCAAUCACUAUUUGUCGAGGGAAUGAACGGGCACCGCCUAACGAGUUGGGUCAGAUGGAGGCGUGGCUCAGAGAUGUCAGCGUCAAGGCCAGGUCGACGUGACAAGCCGGGUCCCGCCCUGCCCUCGGGUGCAUGGACUUCCCCAGGCAGCACUGAUGCCCCCGCUGAGGUGAGGCCGCUGGGCCCCAUCUGUGGGGAGAGGCAGCUGGAAACUGGGGGCCCCAGAUCCUCCUCGAGCCAGAUCCUGACCCCAGACCCAGCCUGUUUUCUGGGUGUCUGAAUCCUGCCGGGGUGGAGGAGGGGCUGGGGAAGAGGUGGGUCCACCUGUUCUCCUCCAGGGACCUCCCUGCAACCCUUCAUGAGGUCAGAGCUGGGCAUCCAGGGAGACAGCGACCCUGGCCAUGGGGGCCACGCCACCCAGGUACCAGCCUGGCAUGCAGCCUGCAGGUGAUAAUCUCCGGGCUGCUCUGGGGCUAGGCUGCAGCUGUAGGGGGGUUCAGCUGUCACAGAGGGAGCCGGGGAAGCCAGCACUGCCUGGGAUGAUCCCCCUUCCGCCUCCUCCUCCCCAGGCCCCGGAGGCCCAGCUGGCCGUCCGCCCGUGCGGACACCCGGGAGCCAACACUGACCCGAAGACAGGUCAGCCAGACUUCCCACCUGCUCCCUCAGGAGGUGGGAUCCGGUCCCCUCCUGCUGGGCUGCACGGGCCACGAUGGAAAGGCGCCUCGUGACACGCUGCGGUCAGCUCAGAAAAGCCGCAGAUGCUGACACGGGCAACCCUGCCCAGUGUGGGGCGUCCUCUGAAGUGGGAGCCGCAGGGAGGGCCUCACGGAGGCCUCUGUCCACAGGCAGCGGCUCCCGGCACCCACCGCUGCUGACCGAGCCCCUGGCACCCCCAAGCCGAGCCUUUGAACCCCAGCAGGGAAGGCCACCUGGCCGAGACCCUGGCCACCACGGGGCCAUCACUGUCCCACGGGGCUCUGUUCCGACUCCUUGGCCCGAGGGUCUCUGAGCACCACCAGGGUUGCCUCACGCCUCUGAGUUUGGGGUGGUUUGUUCGGCAGCACUGGGGCCCGGGGCAGCUUCUUGCCCGGCGUGUGGCACAGCUGUCCUUGUUGGGGGCGUUUCUGGGAUCCUGUGGUUUCGGGGACGCUCCCCUACUCCCUGGCCUUGGGGGCCGAUGACCAGGUGGAGCGGGCCCGGUCUGUGAGGGAGUCACAACGCCAGGUCACUCCAAGCUGCCUCUGUGGCCACACGUCCAGCUGCCCCCACACAGGCGAGACCCAUGAUCAAGCCCCAGGGCUGGAAAGCAGACACAGGGGAUGUAUUUGUUUGUGGAAUCAAAUACGACGGCAGCUUGCAGGCAGCCCAGCCGCUGUGCAAACAACCCUCUUCCAGCACCCAGUGAGGGCGUCCCUGAAGCAGCCGGCGACCCCGGGCGCUGUCACCCGCCAGGUGGGGUAUGGGGACCGUCCCUCAGGCAAGACAGGGUGCCUGUGUACUGAGCGCCUCGUGUGUCAGGUGCAGGUGCAGACAGGCAAAAGUCCUGCCCCACGGAGCUGACCUCGGACGGGAGCCCAGGAACACUGUGCAAACGUACGAGACCGAGGCUGGGAGGUGUGGUGGUUGGGAGAGGCACGGGUGGGUGACUGGAUGGCCACUGAAAAGGUGCCAUCUGAGCAAGGCCUGAAGGAGGGCAGCUGGGAGCCACGCAGGCGUCGGGGGGAGCAUUCCAGGCACUGGGGCCAGCAGCGCAAAGGCCCUGAACUGCAGCCAGGCACGGUGGGCCAGCAGCAAGGCGGAGCAGAGUGGGUGGUGGAAGGGAGGGGAGUUUGUGUGGUCUUGGAGGCCCCACGAGGACCUCGGCUCCGUUCCUGGAGAGCUGUGACUGGCCUUUAAUGGGUUCCAUCUGGCUGCCGAGUGCAAAAUAGACCUGGGAUGGGGGUCAGGGGUAGAAGCAAAGAAACCAGGUACAGAAUCUGGCACAAGUCACGCGGUCAGAGAGCAGGUGCUGGAGAGAUCCCAUAACUGUUUGUGGAAUCAAACAGGACAGCAGCUUGCAGGCAGUCUGGCUGCCGCUGUGCAAACAACCCAGGGCGCCCCUGAACCAGCCCGUGACCUCAGGCAAACGGCAUCCAUCACCGGGGCCGGCACACCAUCGCCUGUGAGAGGCGUGGUGAGGGCUGCUCCCACGGGCCUGCGGGAGGACCCGGUGACAGCAAGGCCAAGCCCCCUGCCCACCAGGACAGUGGCUUUUCUUGAUAAUUUAUCCCUUGAAACCCCGUGGACAAUUAAACCCAGAGUUACCAGGUGAGCCAGGGAUUCUACUCCUAGGAAUCCAACCAAGAGAAAUGAAGACAUUCAUCCACACAAAAGCUACCGAUACCCACAGCUGCAUGGUCCACGCAAAAGCUACCAAUACCCACAUCUGCAUCACCCACGCAAAAGUCACCAAUACCCACAUCUGCAUCAUCCACGCAAAAACUACCAAUACCCACAGCUGCGUGGUCCACGCAAAAACUACCAAUACCCACAGCUGCGUGGUCCACGCAAAAACUACCAAUACCCACAGCUGCGUGGUCCACGCAAAAGCUACCAAUACCCACAGCUGCAUGGUCCACGCAAAAGCUACCAAUACCCACAGCUGCAUGGUCCACACAAAAGCUACCAAUACCCACAGCUGCAUCAUCCACGCAAAAGCUACCCAUGCCCACAGCUGCAUCAUCCACGCAAAAGUCACCAAUACCCACAGCUGCAUCGUCCACGCAAAAGCUACCAAUACCCACAGCUGCAUGGUCCACGUAAAAGCUACCAAUACCCAGAGCCGCAUGGUCCACGCAAAAGCUACCAAUACCCACAGCUGCAUCAUCCACGCAAAAGUCACCAAUACCCACAGCUGCAUCGUCCACGCAAAAGCUACCAAUACCCACAGCUGCAUGGUCCACGUAAAAGCUACCAAUACCCAGAGCUGCAUGGUCCACGUAAAAGCUACCAAUACCCACAGCUGCAUGGUCCACGCAAAAGCUACCAAUACCCACAGCUGCAUCAUCCACGCAAAAGUCACCAAUACCCACAGCUGCAUCGUCCACGCAAAAGCUACCCAUGCCCACAGCUGCGUGGUCCACGCAAAAGCUACCAAUACCCACAGCUGCAUGGUCCACGCAAAAGCUACCAAUACCCACAGCUGCAUCGUCCACGCAAAAGCUACCCAUGCCCACAGCUGCAUCGUCCACGCAAAAGCUACCCAUGCCCACAGCUGCAUGGUCCACCAUAACAACAAUGGGGGCAACAACCCACGCGUCCAUCAACGGACACACAAAACGUGGUCUUUCUGCACAGUGCAGUGCAGCUCAGCCACAGGGAAGGAGGCUCCCCACUAGGCUCCAGUGCGGGGAGCCACGAAGGCCCCGAGCUGACAAAGCCAGACACAAGGGCCACACGUGGCCCCGUCACCUUCAUCCGCGGUGUCCAGAACAGGCAAGUUCACAGAGAUGCAGGAGCGGGGGCAGA